UACGUAGGGGGCAAGCGUUAUCCGGAAUUAUUGGGCGUAAAGCGUGCGUAGGUGGUUACCUAAGCGCAAGGUUUAAUCUUGAGGCUCAACCUCAUUCUGCCUUGCGAACUGGGCUACUUGAGUGCUGGAGGGGAAAGCGGAAUUCCUUGUGUAGCGGUGAAAUGCGUAGAUAUAAGGAAGAACACCGGUGGCGAAGGCGGCUUUCUGGACAGUAACUGACACUGAGGCACGAAAGCGUGGGGAGC
rnacentral:rRNA from 1 species